rnacentral:rRNA from 1 species
AACGAACGCUGGCGGCAUGCCUAACACAUGCAAGUCGAACGAGACCUUCGGGUCUAGUGGCGCACGGGUGCGUAACGCGUGGGAACCUGCCCUUAGGUUCGGAAUAGCUCCCCGAAAGGGGUGCUAAUACCGGAUAAUGUCUUCGGACCAAAGAUUUAUCGCCUUUGGAUGGGCCCGCGUUGGAUUAGCUAGUUGGUAGGGUAAAAGCCUACCAAGGCGACGAUCCAUAGCUGGUCUGAGAGGAUGAUCAGCCACACUGGGACUGAGACACGGCCCAGACUCCUACGGGAGGCAGCAGUGGGGAAUACUGGACAAUGGGCGAAAGCCUGAUCCAGCAAUGCCGCGUGAGUGAUGAAGGCCUUAGGGUUGUAAAGCUCUUUUACCCGGGAUGAUAAUGACAGUACCGGGAGAAUAAGCGCCGGCUAACUCCGUG